CAGUAGCCGCGGUAAUACGUAGGUGGCAAGCGUUGUCCGGAAUUAUUGGGCGUAGAGCGCGCGCAGGCGGCCUAUCCAGUCUGUCUUAAAAGUUCGGGGCUCAACCCCGUGAUGGGAUGGAAACUAGUAGGCUAGAGUAUCGGAGAGGAAAGCGGAAUUCCUAGUGUAGCGGUGAAAUGCGUAGAUAUUUGGGGGAACAUCGGUGACGAAGGCGACCUUCUGGACUGUUACUGACGCUGAGAUCCGAAAGCGUGGGGAUCAAACAGGAUUAGAGACCCCGGUAGUCCCUGUCUCUUAUACA
rnacentral:rRNA from 1 species